rnacentral:lncRNA from 1 species
AUGUUCAGCAAUAUUAUUAUUUUGUUAAUAUUGAAAUAUGAUAAAUUUAUUUUAUGAAACAGAAAAUCAAAAUGUAUGUGAUGCUGAUUCAAUAAUCAAUGCUGUUGAUAUACAUGACCGUCCUGUCCAAACUGAAGUUAAAGGUAAAUGCUUUCAGUAAUUAAAUACCAUGUGCAGUUGUGAAUAUUGAAAUAAGUUAAAUUUAUUUUAUGAAACAGAAAAUCAAAAUGUAUGUGAUGAUGAUUCAGUAAUCAAUGCUGUUAAGAUGCCUGCCCACACUGAUGUUUCAAUAAAUCAAAAUGUAUGUGAUGCUGAUGUUGAUUCUAUUGUUAAUGCCCUUGAUAUACAUGUCCGUCUUGUCUACACUGAAAUUAAAGGUAAGUAUUUUCAGUAAUUAAAUACCAAAUUCAAUUUAAUUUUAUAAAUGUUGAUAUAUUUUAUGAAACAGAAAAUCAAAAUGUUUGUGAUGCUGAUUCAAUUGUUAAUGCUCUUGAUAUACAUGUCCGUCCUGUCCAAACUGAAGUUAAAGAAAAUCAAAAUGUAUGUGAUGAUGAUUCAGUAAUCAAUGCUGUUAAGAUGCCUGCCCACACUGAUGUUUCAAGUAAAUAUUUUUAGUAAUUAAAUACCAAUUUCAAUUUAAUUUUAUAAAUGUUGAUAUAAUAUAUUUUAGUAAACAGUAAAUCAAAAUGUAUGUGAUGUUGAUGUUGAUUCAAUUGAUAUACAUGUCCGUCCUGUCUACACUGAAAUUAAAGAAAAUCAAAAUGUAUGUGAUGAUGAUUCAGUAAUCAAUGCUGUUAAGAUGUCUGCCCACACUGAUGUUUCAAGUAAGUAUUUUCAGUAAUUAAAUACCAAAUUCAAUUUAAUUUUAUAAAUGUUAUAAAAUUGUAUUUAAUACAUUUUUAUUUUAUUAUGUUAUUAGUAUUUAGUUGACUAGACUCCUGUGUCACUGUGUCACCUGUGACAGUAUUUGCGAAUUUAAUUGAAUUAAAAACACUUAAGUAUCAACAUUUUUUAUUUUAUUUGUUUUAGUGUUGGACUUUGGAAAUGAUCCUGCUAUUUUUAGCCAUGUAAAUAUUUAAGCUCUGAACUAAUUGAUCAUUUCUCCAAACUUGGACCAUCACAACCAACUUCACAUGAAAUGCCAAAUAAAUGUUUUCAAAAAGAUUCUCUUGGUAGAUCUUUUCACGAUAGCUGGUACUGGAAAACCUUACCCAGUGGUGAAAUUAUACGAAGGAAAUGGAUGACAUAUUCUAAAACUGAAAACAAACUUUACUGUUUUCAUUGUGCGUUAUUUGGGAAAAAUCAUAAAACAAAUUGGUCACGUGAAGGUUUCAAUAAUUGGAAAAAUGGAUUACCAAAAGUCAUUAUUCAUGAAACAUCAGAAGCUCACAUUAUGUCGUCUAUAAAAGCAGCAUACAGAGGAACAUAAUUUCCUAUUCUACAGUCACUAGAAUCUAGUUAAUCUGAUGAAAAAAAAACUCGGAUAAAUCUUAUUAUUAUAUUAUAUUAUUAUUAUUAUACUAUAUUAUAUCAUUAUAAUUUAUAAUGCAUCGAUCGGAUUCUGUAACAAAACAGUACCUAACUUGUUACUGAUGAAAAAAUAUAUUUAUUUGUUAAAGUAAAUUUUAAUUAUUAUUUAUUCAUUUUAACUGAUAUUAUACGAGUUCAAAGAUUAAUAUAUCUUGGGGAGCCCGGGGCUGAGUAAUUUUUUGGGGGCUAUUUUCCCUGGUUGCAUUUAUGCACUGGUACAGUUUUGCUUGUCUCUCUUAUUAAUAUCGUGAUGAUAUUUAGGCACAUGACUACAUUAUAUUAUGAU